AGUGAAGCGGCAGCAGCUCAAAUUUGAAAUCUGGGGUCCCCGACCUCCGAGUUGUAAUUUGGAGAGGCAUCUUCGGGGGGGAGCGCCGGCCCAUGUUCCUUGGGACAGGACGUCACAGAGGGUGAGAAUCCCGUGCCUGGCCGGCUGCCUCCUCCCGGGUGAAGGGCCUUCGACGAGUCGAGUUGUUUGGGAAUGCAGCUCCAAGUGGGUGGUAAAUUUCAUCUAAAGCUAAAUACCGGCGGGAGACCGAUAGCGCACAAGUAGAGUGAUCGAAAGAUGAAAAGCACUUUGAAAAUAGAGUCAAAAAGUACGUGAAAUUGUUGAAAGGGAAGCGCUUGAGACCAGACUCAGGCCCGGGCAAACAUCGCGCCCCUCGGGGCCGUGCAAUUGCCUGGGCCUGGGCCAGCAUCAGUUGGCGUGGCGGGACAAAGGCGCGGGGAAUGUGGCUCCCCUCGAGGAGUGUUAUCAGGCCCGCGCUCAAUGCCGCCGACGUCGACUGAGGACCGCGCCUCGGCUAGGAUGCUGGCUUAAUGGCCUUCAGCGACCCGUCUUGAAACACGGACCAAGGAGUCUAACAUCUAUGCGAGUGUUUGGGCGACAAACCCUUGCGCGGAAUGAAAGUGAGCGGAGGUGGGAACCCCCCAGCGGGGCGCACCAUCGACCGAUCCUGAUGUCUUCGGAUGGAUUUGAGUAGGAGCAUAGCUGUUGGGACCCGAAAGAUGGUGAACUAUGCCUGAAUAGGGUGAAGCCAGAGGAAACUCUGGUGGAGGCUCGCAGCGGUUCUGACGUGCAAAUCGAUCGUCAAAUUUGGGUAUAGGGGCGAAAGACUAAUCGAACCAU
rnacentral:rRNA from 1 species